UGGGAUCCAUUAUUUAAAGCCAGAGCAAAUGAAAGCAAUGUAUUCAAUCAUUGGAGGAAAGGACACAUUUGUGUCACUGCCAACCGGCUAUGGAAAGUCAGUAAUCUUUGCUGCAUUACCUAUGGCCUUUGACCAAUUGAAAGGAACAUCUGGAAGCAUUGUACUUUGUAUUAGUCCUCUCACUUCGCUGAUGAUGGAUCAACAAAAAAAGUAUGCAGCUGGAGGAUUGACAGUGGAAUACGUUGGAGAAGCUCAGACAGACCGUAGUGCUAUUAACAGAGUACUGAAAGGAGAAGCUCAGUUGGUGUUCAUCUCCCCAGAGAGCAUAUUAGCGAAGGGUAUUUUUCGAAAUAUGCUUCUGUCACCACCGUAUAUAAAGAAUCUCGUUGCAGUAGUAGUUGAUGAAGCCCAUUGUGUUAAAACCUGGGGAGAUGAUUUUCGAGUCGCGAGAUUGGAGAUUUAAGGAGCCUCAUUCCAGACAAUGUCGGUGUUCACGCACUUACUGCUACCUCUACAACAGAAACAUUUUACAUUGUCAGUAGAAGGUUAUGUAUAGACGAUCCUACUUUAAUUGCCUCCCCUCCUUUCCGAGACAAUAUUUCUUAUGGUUCUUAUUUUAAUGGUUGCUGCUGACACGUACACCGGUGGAAUGGUUGCUGCUGACACUGGUGGAAUGGUUGGUACUGAAACAGAUAAUGGAAUGGGUGGUGUGGGGGGUUCCUGCAUAACUCUACUUCUUUUUGGCGGUGGUGGUUAAGUUAUCUUCUGCAUGUCUUGAAAGCAGACCAUUUAUUAGCUCUGUUGCUUCCUUCUUUACCUUGCAUAGCUUUUCUUGUUGAGCAUGGACAUUCUUCAGUUGUUUCUCGCACUGGUGACACAAUAUACUGUCACUAGCACUAGUUUCAGGGAUGCAAUGCAGAGGUACUGGAAGGAGCUGCACAAGUACUUCUCUUGCUUCAGAACAGCUAUGACCAUU